AGAGAGCUUUAAUUCCCUUCCUCUCAAUUAUAUUAUCUCAGGUCCACUCUUUCUUUACCCUCCUCUAUUUUAUCCAAGUCUCCAAUUUUAAAUAUGUUUUGCAUAUUAUCCAAGAAAUUUGGUAUCAGAGCCUAGUUUAACCCCUUCACAAAAACCCAUGGCAGCCAAUAACCAACAACUUUUAAUUAUGCCCAAAAUCUAAUUCCCAUCUUUACUGGUGAGAGUUAUGAUUUUUGGUGCAUCCAAAUGAAAACUCUUUUUAUUUCAGAAGAUUUGUGGGAUAUAAUUGAAGAAGGCUAUGAUGAGCCUGAAAGUCUGGAGCAACUGCAGUCUUGGGUGGAAGCAGCAAAGAAGGAAUACGCAAAACAUUUAAAGAGAUGCAAGAGCACUACUUUUCAUUCAAUAAGGGGUAAGUAAAAGCGUCAUCCCUAUAAUAUCAAAUGCAACAAAAAUCUAAUGCUGCAUGGGAAAUUCUAAGACAACAAUUUGGAGGCCAUGAAAAGGUAAUCUCCAUUAAACUUUAAACUCUUUGGAGAGAAUUUGAUAAUUUAGCAAUGAAAGAUACCGAAGCUAUUCAAGAAUUCUCUUCAAGAGCUUCUGCAGUUAUUAAUCAAAUUAGAAGUUAUGAAGAUACUAUUGCCGAUCAAAAAAUGGUAGAAAAAAUAUUAAGAUGUUUGCCAGCAAAAUUUGAGCAUAUUGUUGCAACUAUAGAAGAGUCCAAAGAUUUGAAAACAUACUCUUUCGAUCAACUAUUUGGCUUUCUCGAGGCACAUGAAAAAAGAAUGAGCAGGUUUUCUAACCAACUUGUGAAGCAAGCAUUCAAAUCAAAUUGCAACAUUACAGAAAGGAAUUUAGCAACCUCAAUAAGCAACUCAACAAAAAGAGGAGGUUCUUUUAGAAGAGGACGUGGUAAUCAAGGCUGAGGCAAAAGAGGAAGAAAUAAUUAUGAGCAAAGAAAUUUCCUCGGUAAGUUUAAAACCUUAUUGCAUUAUUUGUAAAAAAACCUGUGCACAAGUCAAAAGAUUGUCAUUUUAAAUGCACAAAGUGCAAAAUUUCUAACCAUUUAUGAAGAGAUUGUUGAUAUAAAGACAUGCGAGAAAGGAAUGAAGUUAACUAUUCUGAAAAGGUUGAAGAUGACUAUUAUUCAUGCAUGUCUGUUACACAAGAAGCAAAACAUACAUGGCAUUUGGAUAGUGGAUGCAGUAGUCAUAUGACAGAUGAUCCACAACUCUUUGUGAAGAUAGAUAAAAAAAAUUUAUCCGAAGUAAAGCUUGAAGAUGGAAAGUUGCAUGAAAUUAAAGGAAAAGAAGUUAUAGCAUUAAACUUCAAAGAAGGUAACUCUAAACUCAUCCAUGAUGUGCUUUAUGUUCCUGGUUUAACAUCAAAUCUUUUAAGUGUUGGCCAAUUACUCCGAAAGAAUUAUUCUGUAAAUUUUGAUGGAGAUGAAAGCACAAUUAUCGAUAAAAAUAAAAACAUCAUGGUGGCAAAAAUAAAAAUGAAUCAAAAUAAUGUUUUUCCUCUUAUUAUGCCACAUGAUGAAAAAUUAGCUUUUCAAAGUCAAAAAUUGGAUGAUUCAUACUUAUUGCAUCUAAGAUACAGGCAUUUAAAUUAUAAUGGCCUAAAAUUAUUAAAAGACAAAAAUAUGGUUUUAGGCCUACCUCCUAUUGCCCAUAUAGAUAAAGUCUAUGAGGGAUGCAUAUAUGGAAAAAUGCAUAGAUUGCCAUUUCCCAAAAAUACCUGGAGAGCAAAGGCACCAUUAGAGUUGGUACAUUCUAAUAUUUUUGGACCAACUCAAACUCCAUCUCUAAAUGGAAGAAGAUACUUCCUUCUGUUUGUUGAUGAUUAUACCUGAAUGAUGUGGGUAUAUUUUUUGAAAGAAAAGUCAAAAGCUUUUUCAAUCUCUCAAGAAUUCAAGGAGCUUGUAGAAAAGCAAGCCGAAAAGCCGCUGAAAACAUUUCGAACAGAUCAUGGUGGAGAAUUCAUUUCUAAACCAUUUAUGAAAUACUGCGAGAAAAAUGGAGUUCAAAAACAACUCACUGUUCGACACACCCCCCAACAAAAUGGUGUAACUGAGCGAAAAAAUAGAAUAAUUGCAUAAAUGGCUAAAAGCAUGCUAAAGGAGAAAGGUCUUCCAGAUGACUACUGGGCAGAAGCCAUCAACACUGCCGUCUACAUUUUGAAUAGAUCUCCAAUAAAAGCUAUCCUGAACAAGACUCCAUAUGAAGCAUGGCAUAAACAAAAGCCCUAAGUACAACUUUUAAAAGUAUUUGGAUGCAUAGCUUAUGCACAUGUCCCCUCACAAUACAGAGAAAAAUUUGAUGAAAAAGGAGAGAAAUAUAUAUUCCUCGGAUACAGCAAUGAGUCAAAAGGUUACCGGCUAUACAAUUCAAAAAUAACUAAGCUGAUAAUUUCUAGAGAUGUUAUCUUUGAUGAAUCAGCAACAUGGAAUUGGGAAAGCACUCACAAAAUAGGAGCAAAAAUAUUUGAAGAAAUUCCUAUUCAGGAUAAGUCAGAUUCUUAACCAAUUCAAGACCCUGGUCCAAGCCCAAUCAAAAGAAUGGAUAUACCUUCAGAUGAUGAAUCACCACCAACAAAGGUACUCUCACUCGUAGAUAUUUAUGAAUCUACUAAUAUGGAAUUUUUUACAUGUGAGCCUCAAAAUUUUUAAGAAGCAAUAAAAGAAGAUAUCUGGAUUAAAGCAAUGGAUGAAGAAAUUGCAACAAUUGAAAAGAAUGAUACGUGGGAACUGGUAGAUCUACCUGAAAACAAAGAUGUUAUUGGACUCAAAUAGGUCUACAAAACCAAGUACAAAGAAGAUAGAACAAUUCAGAAGUACAAAGCACGGCUAGUCGCCAAAGGCUAUUCGCAAUAGCCCGGAAUUGACUUCAACAAGACAUUCGCACCAAUUGCUCGAAUGGAGGUACCAGUUUAUCAACUGGAUGUCAAAUAGGGCUUCCUUAAUGGAGAACUCAAAGAGGAAGUAUAUGUGGAACAACCUUUGGGUUACACCAUCAAAGAAAAAGAAACCAAAGUCUUACGAUUAAAGAAGGCACUAUAUGGAUUAAAGCAAGCACCAUGAGCUUGGAACAGCAAAAUUGAUUCAUAUUUUAGACAAAAUGGAUUUCAACAGAGUCCAAGUAAGCCUUUGUAACAACCCAGUUCACCCGCAUGAGAUAUUGUCCGCUUUGGGCCCCGUCCGUACGGUUUUAAAAGGCCUCCCAAGGAAAAGGUAUCCGCACCCUCUUAUAAGGUAUGCUUUGUUUCCCUUUCCAACCGAUGUGGGAUCUCUCAAUCCACCCCCCUUGGGGUCCUGUGUCCUCGCUAGCACAACAAUCUGGGUACCGACUCUGAUACCAACUGUAACAGCCCAGUCCACCUGCACGAGAUAUUGUCCGCUUUGGGCCCCACCCGCACUGUAACACCUCAUCCCAAAGUACACCAGAAAUUUCUCAAAUUUGACCGAGGUUGACCAGGUUUGACCAUCAUUGACCGAGAAGGGGUCAAAUGUUGACUUUUUGCUUCUGGUGGAAUUUCACAUUGACCGAGGUCUCGUUAUGAAGUACACAUUGGAACGAGUUCAUAGACUAGUAGCACAUUGAAAACGGAGCUACGGUUUGAAAGUUAUGAGCAAAACAAGUUGAGGUUCAAAUUGUCCAAGGGUGCCGGCUGACUAUUUAUUUUUGGGGGAUAUGAGCUUUGACUCAUGUACGAAUGUGAAUUACUCAUCGAUACGAGUCCGUAGACUAGUGGUACACCUAAUUUGGACAUUUUGUUGAAAAGUUAUGGACCUAUAAAGUUUUUCAAAUACAGUAUUAUUUUAAUAUUAUUUUUAAAUAUGUGAACAGUAUGCCACAUGUGACUUAAUAAAGGGUGCCAUGUGUCACAAUGAAGAGAUGCCACAUUUCAACCAUAUUAAAUACUAUAUUAUCUUAAUAUUAUUUUAUUAUUUUAUUAUUUUAUUAUUUUAUUAUUUUAUUAUUUUAUUAUUUUAUUAUUUUUAUUAUUUUUUUAUUAUUAUUAUUAUUAAAAAAAAAUUUAUUUUUUCCUCACGUGGGGAAACACCCACGAAAAUUUCUUUCUUUUUCUUUUUCUUUUCUUUUCUUCUUCUUCUUCUUCUUCUUCCUUCUUCCUUCCUUCUCCCUCUCAGCUUCACCCCGUUUCUCUUUUUUUCGAUCAUAUGAAGCCACACGCACCUGAUGGGGAGGAAGAGGGGGAAGAUUCCAGCCAGCAGCCAGAAAAUGGUGGCCAACCAUCAUCGAAUGCGGCCGGAUCGGGCUUCGUUGCGGACGACGGCAAGAUUGGCUCCGUCGACAAUCCAGCCACCACCCGGCCAAAUUGAUACUCCUUUCCACCUAUUUUGGACCUCCAGAGCUCGAUUUUGAGGUCCAUUCAGCUCAAUUCCUUGUCAUUUGGGAGAUACGACAAGUUGAAGUUCGGUCAAAACUUCCCAUCCAUUCUGCCGGUCCCUGCCGAUCAAAUUAAAUCCAACGGAUAUCGGAGCACGUGUGAGCCGUAGAAUUGAUCUUAUAGAGGACCUUGUUGGAUUGCGUGCUCAAGACGCACUCAUACAGUACUGGUGUUUUGUACUGUAUAUGUGGAUGAGCGGGCAAGUUAUAAUGUCUCCCGUGAGUUUCCAUCAGACCGAGGGCAGGCAAGUUUGAUAUUGGCCAUAAGCCGCUCCUCUCCAUGGCCGGGAUGACGGUUUAAGCAGCGGCGUUGUCGUGACGCCUAAGUGACCGUAUGCAAGUUUCUUUCUUUAACCUCCCAUCAGAUGGUGCUCGGGAUACUAGGUAUCAUAAGGCAUCACUGGUAUAUAGUGUGGUGCGUCAAGUUAUUUUCUCGAUAUGAAUUUCAAACCAAGAUGCUUUAAAAUCGUAUUUAAAAUUAAACAUAUUUAAUUUUGUUUUAUUGCUUAUUUCAAACUAAUAUUUUCUAAAAUGUAUUUAUUCAUGUUUUCAAUGUUUUCAAUGCUUAUUCUAAAUUUAAUUAUUGGAUUUUUAAAAUGUUUUCAAUGUAUA